AGCAGCCGCGGUAAUUCCAGCUCCAAUAGCGUAUAUUAAAGUUGUUGCAGUUAAAAAGCUCGUAGUUGAAUUUCGGGGCCAGUAGGUCGGUCGUGCCACUGGUAUGAACUGGUCUCACUGGUCCCUCCCUCUUGAAGAACCGUGAUGCCAUUAAUUUGGUGUUGCGGGGAAACAGGACUGUUACUUUGAAAAAAUUAGAGUGCUUAAAGCAGGCUUACGCUUGAAUACAUUAGCAUGGAAUAACGAAAUAGGACGAUCGAUUCUAUUUUGUUGGUUUCUAGGGUCGACGUAAUGAUUAAUAGGGAUAGUUGGGGGCAUUAGUAUUCAAUUGUCAGAGGUGAAAUUCUUGGAUUUAUUGAAGACUAACUACUGCGAAAGCAUUUGCCAAGGAUGUUUUCAUUAAUCAAGAACGAAAGUUAGGGGAUCGAAGACGAUCAGAUACCGUCGUAG
rnacentral:rRNA from 1 species